UGGUCAGGACAGGUACAGCAUGGACAGCAACAGUGUGAGCUUUCCCCAUACCACCCGGUCCAUAUGCCUCAACCCCAACCUGGAGAGGGACCACCCCUAUAGUUG
ensembl:misc_RNA